UACCCGAUAGACACGACUAUCACACUGUCAGCAGCCACUGGUACAGACUAGCAGAGCGAGUAUGUAGCUGAGCUACAGAGUCUGACUGCUGUCGUACUACGCUACACUAGAGACAGUAUUGAUAUCUGCGCUCUGCUGAGUCAGUUACUCGAAAAUAGUGUAGCUCUGGAUCAGCAACAACCACGCUGGGAGCGUUGCUAUUCGUGCCAGCAUCUAGUACCGCCACAAAGGAUUCCACAAGAUCCUUGACUUCCAAGUCGGAACUCAUGGAGCAAACUGCAGUUAACGGAAUUUAUGUGCU
rnacentral:rRNA from 1 species